rnacentral:rRNA from 1 species
UCAUUACUGAGUUUUUAACUCUCCAAACCAUGUGAACUUACCACUGUUGCCUCGGUGGUCGGUGCUGGAAACAGUGCUGCCACCGGUGGACUACUAAACUCUUGUUAAUUUUUGUCAAAUCUGAAUCAAACUAAGAAAUAAGUUAAAACUUUCAACAACGGAUCUCUUGGUUCUGGCAUCGAUGAAGAACGCAGCGAAAUGCGAUAAGUAAUGUGAAUUGCAGAAUUCAGUGAAUCAUCGAAUCUUUGAACGCACAUUGCGCCCAUUAGUAUUCUAGUGGGCAUGCCUGUUCGAGCGUCAUUUCAACCCUUAAGCCUAGCUUAGUGUUGGGAGACUGCCUAAUACGCAGCUCCUCAAAACCAGUGGCGGAGUCUGUUCGUGCUCUGAGCGUAGUAAUUUUUUAUCUCGCUUCUGCAAGCCGGCCAGACGACAGCCAUAAACCGCACCCUCUCGGGGGGCACUUUUUUAAUGGUUGACCUCGGAUCAGGUAGGAAUACCCGCUGAACUUAAGCAUAUCAAUAAGCGGAGGAAAAGAAACCAACAGGGAUUGCCCUAGUAACGGCGAGUGAAGCGGCAACAGCUCAAAUUUGAAAUCUGGCCUUCUGGUCCGAAUUGUAAUUUGUAGAGGAUGCUUUUG